rnacentral:rRNA from 1 species
GAUGAACGCUGGCGGCGUGCUUAACACAUGCAAGUCGAACGAUGAAGCCCAGCUUGCUGGGUGGAUUAGUGGCGAACGGGUGAGUAACAAGUGAGUAACCUGCCCUUAACUCUGGGAUAAGCCUGGGAAACUGGGUCUAAUACCGGAUAGGAGCGUCCACCGCAUGGUGGGUGUUGGAAAGAUUUAUCGGUUUUGGAUGGACUCGCGGCCUAUCAGCUUGUUGGUGAGGUAAUGGCUCACGAAGGCGACGACGGGUAGCCGGCCUGAGAGGGUGACCGGCCACACUGGUACUGAGACACGGAGCAGACUCCUACGGGAGGCAGCAGUGGGGAAUAUUGCACAAUGGGCGCAAGCCUGAUGCAGCGACGCCGCGUGAGGGAUGACGGCCUUCGGGUUGUAAACCUCUUUCAGUAGGGAAGAAGCGAAAGUGACGGUACCUGCAGAAGAAGCACCGGCUAACUACGUG